rnacentral:rRNA from 1 species
CUAAGUACCCCCGAGGAAAAGAAAUACAACGAGAUUCCCCCCAGUAGCGGCGAGCGAACGGGGAGCAGCCCAGAGCCUGAAUCAGUGUGUGUGUUAGUGGAAGCGUCUGGAAAGGCACGCGAUACAGGGUGACAGCCCCGUACACAAAAAUGCACAUGCUGUGAGCUCGAUG